AUGUGCCUUCGGGAACUCUGACACAGGUGCUGCAUGGCUGUCGUCAGCUCGUGUCGUGAGAUGUUGGGUUAAGUCCCGUAACGAGCGCAACCCUUGUCCUUAGUUACCAGCACGUUAUGGUGGGCACUCUAAGGAGACUGCCGGUGACAAACCGGAGGAAGGUGGGGGAUGACGUCAAGUCAUCAUGGCCCUUACGGCCUGGGCUACACACGUGCUACAAUGGUCGGUACAAAGGGUUGCCAAGCCGCGAGGUGGAGCUAAUCCCAUAAAACCGAUCGUAGUCCGGAUCGCAGUCUGCAACUCGACUGCGUGAAGUCGGAAUCGCUAGUAAUCGUGAAUCAGAAUGUCCACGGUCGAAUACGUUCCGGCCUU
rnacentral:rRNA from 1 species